ACCACGUCGCCUGGAAGCUGACACUUGCAUGUAAACACCGUCACAGCUGCUCACAGCUACACACUUCCAUAAUUCCUUCGUUCUUCUUGCUUGGCUAAUACACCCAGGAUGCGUCAGUUAAAAGGAAAAGUGAAAGAAACAGCCAAGGAGAAGAAGGAACGAAAGAAAGAAUUUAUGGAAAAUAAGGAGAAGGCCUUCACUGUUGCCCUUCCAGUGUUUGUGGGAUUGUUUAUUGUCAUUGCCCUUCUAGUUUACUUCAAGACAAGACCAAAGGAGAUUGAACUCUAACAUCUACAAAUACGUGCAGAAUAUCUUCAUAUUAUUAGUUCUGUCCAUUGGGAGUAUUUAUUAAGCAAGAAUGAUGAGUUAAUACAAUACCUGGUUUAUGAUUGCACUAUCACUUUAUACAGUGAAAUAUUUAUUUUGUGAAUGAUUUUUUUUACUUCAUUCUAAUAGUACAUCAGUUAAUAUAUUUGAAGAAUAGUUUGUACUAGGAGGUAACGAGAUAUAUUUUGGAAACUAGUUUUUAAUCCAUGUGCUAUGUAAUUUUUUAUCAAAUAGCUAAACUGUUUGUAUUAAAUUUGUAUGAUUGUCUAAAGUCUUUAUAUUACUUGGACAUGUUUCACACACAACAAUAUUUUUUUGAAGCAUCCUGUUGUGAUAAAAAUAUUUUGCCUCUCCUGAAAAAGAAAUGAAUUGUAUUGGAAUCGCUUACUAAGACUCGUAAGAUCAUAACACGAUUGCAAACAAAUCACAGAACGAGUUUUAGGAUUCACUUGCCAUAGGUUCAAGCUCCACCCUUUCUGUGAUUUAUUUACUAAGAUUUUAAAUUGUUUCAUGGUAUAUGUUGUAAUUCUCUAUUGCUGUUUCAGUAUUAAUUUAUUAAAGUUUCCUCCUUCAGUAGUAGAUGCAGUCGAGUGUCUGGGAGAGAGUUUCUCAUAAAAUAAUAGAUAUAUACAGUACCUUAUUUAAUAUGUAAGUAUAAAAUUGUGUACACAAAUCCCAUCACAUGAUUGCAGUCAUUAAUUUGGUUGCUUCACAAGGUUCAUGUGCCUUAACCCUCACCAGAACUUCAUGGAUGUCACUAGACUUAAAAGAUUUUGUAUUUUACCUCCCCAUGAGUGUACCUGUCAUGGGAUGUGAUGUUCUGUUUUAAGAAUAUACCCUGUUAACUGUUUCGCGAAUAAAGUUUCAAGAUUUUAUUAAGAUUC